GAUGAACGCUGGCGGCGUGCCUAAUACAUGCAAGUCGAGCGAACAGACGAGGAGCUUGCUCCUCUGACGUUAGCGGCGGACGGGUGAGUAACACGUGGAUAACCUACCUAUAAGACUGAGAUAACUUCGGGAAACCGGAGCUAAUACCGGAUAAUAUAUUGAACCGCAUGGUUCAAUAGUGAAAGACGGUUUUGCUGUCACUUAUAGAUGGAUCCGCGCCGCAUUAGCUAGUUGGUAAGGUAACGGCUUACCAAGGCAACGAUGCGUAGCCGACCUGAGAGGGUGAUCGGCCACUCUGGAACUGAGACACGGUCCAGACUCCUACGGGAGGCAGCAGUAGGGAAUCUUCCGCAAUGGGCGAAAGCCUGACGGAGCAACGCCGCGUGAGUGAUGAAGGUCUUCGGAUCGUAAAACUCUGUUAUUAGGGAAGAACAAAUGUGUAAGUAACUAUGCACGUCUUGACGGUACCUAAUCAGAAAGCCACGGCUAACUACGUG
rnacentral:rRNA from 1 species